rnacentral:piRNA from 1 species
UCUGGGGAGUGUCUCAUGACUCAGUGA